GACGUAGGGCGCGAGCGUUGUCCGGAUUUAUUGGGCGUAAAGAGCUCGUAGGCGGCUUGUUGCGUCGACCGUGAAAACCCGGGGCUCAACUUCGGGCUUGCGGUCGAUACGGGCGGGCUAGAGUUCGGUAGGAGACUGGAAUUCCUGGUGUAGCGGUGAAAUGCGUAGAUAUCAGGAGGAACACCGGCGGUGUAGACGGCUUUCUGGACCGUAGCUGACGCUGAGACACGAAAGCGUGGGUAGCAAACAGG
rnacentral:rRNA from 1 species